rnacentral:lncRNA from 1 species
AUAACAUUUGGUUCACUCAUACUAAGUGCUCCAUCAAAGCCCUACCACGAGUAGGCACAUCAAAGCCUUGCCCCGCGCAAGCACCAAAGCCCUGUCACGAGCAGGCACAUCAAAGCCCUACCACGAGUAGGCACAUCAAAGCCUUGCCCCGCGCAAGCACCAAAGCCCUGUGACCAGCAGGCACAUCAAAGCCCUACCACGAGUAGGCACAUCAAAGCCUUGCCCCGCGCAAGCACCAAAGCCCUGUCACGAGUAGGCACAUUAAAGCCUUGCCCCGCGCAAGCAUCAAGCCCUGUCACGAGCAGGC